GAUGAACGCUGGCGGCGUGCCUAAUACAUGCAAGUCGAACGCUGGAAAUCUAGCUUGCUAGAUUGAAGGAGUGGCGAACGGGUGAGUAAUACAUAAGCAACCUACCCACGAAGACUGGGAUAAUCUCUGGAAACGGGGACUAAUACCGGAUAGGUAAUCGGAAGGCAUCUUCUGAUUAUUAAAGGUUAAAAACACUGGUGGAUGGGCUUAUGGCGCAUUAGUUAGUUGGUGAGGUAACGGCCCACCAAGACGAUGAUGCGUAGCCGGCCUGAGAGGGUGAACGGUCAGAUUGGGACUGAGACACGGCCCAGACUCCUACGGGAGGCAGCAGUAGGGAAUGCACGGGAAGGGGGGAAACCCUGACCGAGCAACGCCGCGUGAGUGAUGACGGCCUUCGGGUUGUAAAGCUCUGUUGUAAGGGAAGAACGGUAGAUAGAGAAUAUCUAAAUGACGGUACCUUAUCAGAAAGCCACGGCUAACUACGUG
rnacentral:rRNA from 1 species